rnacentral:rRNA from 1 species
GGGGCAACCUGGCGACGAGUGGCGAACGGGUGAGUAAAGCAUCGGAACGUGCCCAGUAGUGGGGGAUAGCCCGGCGAAAGCCGGAUUAAUACCGCAUACGACCUACGGGUGAAAGCGGGGGAUCGCAAGACCUCGCGCUAUUGGAGCGGCCGAUGUCAGAUUAGGUAGUUGGUGGGGUAAAGGCCUACCAAGCCGACGAUCUGUAGCUGGUCUGAGAGGACGACCAGCCACACUGGGACUGAGACACGGCCCAGACUCCUACGGGAGGCAGCAGUGGGGAAUUUUGGACAAUGGGCGCAAGCCUGAUCCAGCCAUGCCGCGUGCGGGAAGAAGGCCUUCGGGUUGUAAACCGCUUUUGUCAGGGAAGAAAUCCUCUGAGUUAAUACCUCGGGGGGAUGACGGUACCUGAAGAAUAAGCACCGGCUAACUACGUGCCAGCAGCCGCGGUAAUACGUAGGGUGCAAGCGUUA